GUUUUUAUAGUUUAAAAAAAAAACAAUGAUUUUGUAAAUCAAAGAUAGGAUUUUCCUUUAAAACA
rnacentral:tRNA from 1 species